rnacentral:rRNA from 1 species
UGGAUUCAGCGGCGGACGGGUGAGUAAUGCUUAGGAAUCUGCCUAUUAGUGGGGGACAACGUUCCGAAAGGAGCGCUAAUACCGCAUACGUCCUACGGGAGAAAGCAGGGGACCUUCGGGCCUUGCGCUAAUAGAUGAGCCUAAGUCGGAUUAGCUAGUUGGUAGGGUAAAGGCCUACCAAGGCGACGAUCUGUAGCGGGUCUGAGAGGAUGAUCCGCCACACUGGGACUGAGACACGGCCCAGACUCCUACGGGAGGCAGCAGUGGGGAGUAUUGGACAAUGGGGGGAACCCUGAUCCAGCCAUGCCGCGUGUGUGAAGAAGGCCUUUUGGUUGUAAAGCACUUUAAGCGAGGAGGAGGCUACCUAGAUUAAUACUUUAGGAUAGUGGACGUUACUCGCAGAAUAAGCACCGGCUAACUCUGUGCCAGCAGCCGCGGUAAUACAGAGGGUGCGAGCGUUAAUCGGAUUUACUGGGCGUAAAGCGUGCGUAGGCGGCCAAUUAAGUCAAAUGUGAAAUCCCCGAGCUUAACUUGGGAAUUGCAUUCGAUACUGGUUGGCUAGAGUAUGGGAGAGGAUGGUAGAAUUCCAGGUGUAGCGGUGAAAUGCGUAGAGAUCUGGAGGAAUACCGAUGGCGAAGGCAG